rnacentral:lncRNA from 1 species
UUAAUAAACCAAGCCACGGCAAAAUGUUUUUUGAUAUUUUACGCUAGACGAAUGAUUAAAUUUAGUGUACAAAGAGUAAAACGUCUUAUAAUUUAGGAUGGAUUGGGUACAUUUUUUAGGGAACGGAUGGGGUAGCUGAUAGAGUGAUAGUACUGCUGCAAGACAUGGAUGAGACCUGCAAAGAGUUAGCCGACACUUGGCUUAGAAGACACUACAGCCGGAGCCGGUGCAAGUCAAACGCGCACCGCAGUCUCCUGUUUCAGCGCACCGCUCAAAUUAUCUCGCCGCAGUCAACUCUAGAUCCCGCUUUGUCAAAAAAAAAAAAACUCUAGAUCCCGCUCAAUCAUUCCUCUUCCUCCCUUCAGACUAGGGAAGAAAAUGGUACGGAUAUUUUCCGACCGUAUUCGGGACCGAAUUCGUUUAGAGGGGUUGAGAUCUGUCCGUAUCCGAGUUCGAAUGUUUAAUAUCCGAUACCGUAUCCGUAUCCGAAUAUUUAAAUCGUAUAUUUAUGAUGUCGACAUCCAAUCGUAUCUUAUCCGACAUUGUUGAUAUUAUCCGUAUUCGAAUUCGAAUCCGACCAAAAAUAUGAAAACAAAUAUAAUAUCAGUGAUAUCCGUUCGUAUCCGAUCCGUUUUCAUUCCUACUUCAGACCCAGAGGGCGCCGGCCCUACGCUG